ensembl:lncRNA
AGCUUGUCGGUAGCCAAUAGCCUUUCCCUCAGGUUUUAGAAAUCCUGUCUCAACUCCCCUCAUUGCCGCAGCCUGAUGUUGUUAGUACUGGCAUGCAUGACCACCGUGUGCAGCUCCGGAUUUCAGUCUAGGAUGGCCGUAAGCUCCCGGUAAUGUCACACACCCUGGCUUCAGGGAAGCAGAAAGUCUUUGCCCCAACAACCACCACAUCCCGGACAAUGGAACUCCCGACGAUGGCUACCUUGGGAGGAGGGGUCGUGGAUUCCCAGAGCCAGAGAUCCUGGAUGGCUGAUGUAUGAAGGGGGCGUGGUUGGCUCAGCAACCCAGGAUCAGAGGUUGAGUGGGAAGGGCGUGGGGGGGCGGAGUAGGUCAUUUGACAGAGGGCCCCAGUGAAGUCAGGAGGCUCAGAGCCGAAAAACGGUUAGGGAGCCGUAGGUCUGAACGAGUGGGAGGGGGAAAAUUCAUUGGAAUCGUCCUCAUCUCUUCCUUCUAACUCGAUUCCACUUUACUUCUGAUGGUGUAGAAGAAAAUGCAGUAGAUCUCUGGUUCUUGUCGGUGGGAUGUGAAAGUGGUCCAAGGUAGUAUCCACAGUAGCUACUGCAGAGGAGCCCAAUCUCGUAGAGCACCCAGAAUUUCCCCUCGGUCAUUUAGAAUUGUCGCAUCAAAAAUAGCAUGCAGUCUUGAAGUCUCCUUAGCCAGAGCGUGAUGUUCUCUUAGGACCCUGUUCUCCUCUAGUAGCUCAAUGAUCCUGGCCCUUUGAGGCACGGAGCUGUUUGCGUUUAUCACAAGUAUAUAGGAGGGGUGCGUCACUUGAGUGGGUUGAGUCAAUGACGUGAUCUUCCUGACCGGGUUGGCGCCCCCCUCUUGCGUUGUGCCAUGGCGGAGAUCUUUGUGGGCUAUACUCGGCCUUGUCUCAGGAUGGUAAGUUGGUGGUUGAAUAUAUUCCUCUAGUGGUGUGGGGGCUGUGCUUUGGCAAAGUGGGUGGGGUUAUAUCCUACCUGUUUGGCCCUGUCCCGGGGUAUCGUCGGAUGGGGCCACAGUGUUUCCCGACCCCUCCUGUCUAAGCCUCCAGUAUUUAUGCUGCAGUAGUUUAUGUGUCGGGGGGCUAGGGUCAGUCUGCUAUAUCUGGAGUACUUCUCCUGUCUUAUCCGGUGUCCUGUGUGAAUAUAAGUAUGUUCUCUCUAAUUCUCUCUCUCUUUCUCUCUUUUCCUUUCUUUCUUUCUUUCUUUCUUUCUUUCUUUCUUUCUCUGUCUCGGAGGACCUGAGCCCUAGGACCAUGCCUCGGGACUACCUGGCCUGGUGACUCCUUGCUGUCCCCAGUCCACCUGGCCGUGCUGCUUGCUCCAGUUUCAACUGUUCUGCCUGCGGCUAUGGAACCCUGACCUGUUCACCGGACAUGCUACCUGUCCCAGACCUGCUGUUUUCAACUCUCUAGAGACAGCAGGAGCGGUAGAGAUACUCUGAAUGAUCGGCUAUGAAAAGUCAACUGACAUUUACUCCUGAGGUGCUGACCUGUUGCACUCUCGACAUCCACUGUGAUUGUUAUUAUUUGACCCUGCUGGUCAUCUAUGAACAUUUGAACAUCUUGGCCAUGUUCUGUUACAAUCUCCACCCGGCACAGCCAGAAGAGGACUGGCCACCCAUCAUAGCCCAGUUUCUCUCUAGAUUUCUUCCUAGGUUCUGGCCUUUCUAGGGAGUUUUUCCUAGCCACCUUGCUUCUAGACCUGCUUUACUUGCUGUUUGGGGUUUUAGGCUGGGUUUCUGUACAGAACUUUGUGACAUCAGCUGAAGUAAGAAGGCAUUUAUAAAUACAGUACAUUUGAUUGAUUGACAAAAAAUUUUUUUUUAAUUGUCAUACUUGAGUAAAAGUAAAGAUACCUUCAUACAAAAUCAGUCAAGUAAAAGUGAAAGUCAUCCAGUAAAAUACUACUUGAGUAAAAGUCUAAAAGUAUUUGGUUUAAAAUAUACUUAAGCAUCAAAAGUAAAUGUAAUUGCUCACAUAUAUACUUAACUAUCAAAUUUUGAAACUAUUAUUUCAAAUGUCUUAUAUUAAGCAAACCAUUAUUAUAUAUUUUUUUAUAUUUUAAUUUAUGGAUAGCCAGGGACACACUCCAACACUCAGACAUAAUUCACAAAUAAAGCAUGUGUUUGGUGAGUCCGCCAGAUCAGUGGCAGUAGGGAUGACCAGGAAUGUUCUCUUGAUAAGUGCUAACAAUUCAUAAUGUUGCUUGUCAGGGAAAAUGUUUGUAGUAAAAAUGUGCAUUAUAGUAUAGUGAAGUAAAAGUUGUAAAGUACAGAUACCCCAAAAAACGACUCAAGUAGUACUUUCAAGUAUUUUUACUUAAAUACGUUACACCCCUUUUUACAAAUGUUGUAUUUUGGGUUCUGAUGGGGUACGACAGUUGAACUAAGCUCAUGAUACAUUUGCAUGUUAUAUUCUUUAAGAAUCAAUGGGUAUACCCUGAGUGUACAAAACAUGAAGAACUCCUUCCUAAUAUUGAGUUGCACCCACCCUUUUGCCCUCAGAAUAGCCUCAAUUUGUCAGAGCAUGGACUCUACAAGGUUUCGAAAGCGUUCCACAGGGAUGUUGGCCAAUGUUGACUCCAAUGCUUCCAAAUAGAUGUGUCAAGUUGGCUGGAUGUCCUUUGGGUGGUGGACCAUGCUUGAUAAACAUGGGAAACUGUUGUGUGUGAAAAACCAGGAAGAGUUGCAUUUCUUGAAAGACUCAAGCCGGUUUACUUUGCACCAACUACCAUACCCUGUUGAAAGGCACUUGAAUAUGUUGUCUUGCCCAUUCACCCUCUGAAUGGCACACAUACACAUUCCAUGUCUAAAGUUGCCUAAAGUUGUCUAAAGGCUUUAAAAUAAUUUUUGAACUUUACUUCUCCCCUUCAUCUACACUGAUUGAAGUGGAUUUAACAAGUGACAUCAAUAAGAGAUUAUAGGUUUCACCUAGAUUCACCUAGUCAGUCUAUGUCAUGGAAAGAGCAGGUGUCCUUAAUGUUUAGUACACUCAGUGUAUAUCAUUACUGUCACAUCCUGAUCUGUUUCACCGGUCUUUGUGCUUGUCUCCACACCCCUCCAGGUGUUGCCCAUCUUCCCCAUUAUCCCCAGUGUAUUUAUACCUGUGUUCUCUAUUUGUCUGUUGCCUGUUUGUGUUGUUCAUCAAGCCUAGCAGCGGUUUUCCCCUGGCUCCUGUGUGUUUCUAGUUCCUGUUUUCUAGUUUUCACAGUUUUGACCAUUCUGCCUGCCCUGAGCCUGCCUGCCGUUCUGUACCUUUAGGAAUGAUCUGGAUUACUGACCUCUGCCUGCUCUUGACCUGUCGUUUUGCCUGCCUGUGAAGCAGUAACAAAAGCGGAGGAUCGGACAGUGAGGAAACAGACAGGAUGUCCUGGUGCUCACCUCUCUUAGGGGCUUUCAUUUACAAUAUUAACAAGUUUACGAAUAAUUGGCCAAUAAACCUUGUACAGAAAAUAACAAAUGGGACAUUGACAAAGACUUGAAUAAAUCAAACAUAUUCUCAGUAUAAAUUAUUCCGGCAACAAAUCUUUGCCUACAACAAAGCACAGGUAUAACUCUGCUCUAGCCAACCUGUUGCCUGCUCUCCCCCAGGGAAAAGCCAAAUGAGCACCUAAGUACUCUUUCCAGGAACGCUCUUCAGCUAAGAAUGUUCCAUCAUGAUAGCCACAAAACACAUUUCUACCAUAAUGCAUAAUUUCCCAUGGACAUAUAUCAUAAACAACAGUUUUACAUAAACACACUCUUCAAUAACUUGUGCCAUAACUUCUACUUUAAGUCACACAAUACACAUUCAUGAAGUAAUUCACCGCCACAAUAAUUCAUCCCUUUUUGUUAUUCCCGGUAACCAAUAAAUGUUCCUUGAUGACUCAUAGACUAAUUUGCCUCAUGCAUGCUUAAUGCACACCGACACUUCAACAAGGAAACAGCACGGCGCUUCAGACAAACAGAGGUAGGUUAAAUUAUAUGGUUAUACUCUACUAAUACUUCAAUUGUUAUUCUAAUAAUACAUUUCACAAUGCUAGAGCAUGUACAUUUAAAUGGGCAGCUUUAUACACAGUAGAAACAUUGUUAGCAAGUUACAUUGUUUUAGUAACUGGCGUGCGCAAAACAAACAUUAGACUUUGGCGCAGUAUUGUUGGCAAAUGGAAUGUGCUACUCAAUCCAACAUUCGCUUUGGUUUCAGGAUUCUUGGCUAUACCUUGAAGAGAUACAAUAAAGAGUCUUCCUUCAACCAAUAAUUUGUUUCAGUGUCAUUGUCUACAAGUCAUGGACAUGCGCUCCGUGAUACUGCCCGUGUUCCAGUAAUAAACUUUUGUUACUUCGACACUGUCUGCAUCUGGGUUUUCCCUGAAAUGCAUGAGCACUAACUGGCCAUGACUGACCCAGCAGACUCUGACCAGCUCCACAACGCCAUCUACUCCCAAGGAGCCAACAUUGGAAGGAACGAGGGUUCCAGACCUUGGCUGAACGGCAUGACUGAGCGUUUGAAGACAUUGCUGGAGCAAUUCCGCGGGUUGUCUGUUAGGCAGCCUACCGCAAGAUGGCG